rnacentral:rRNA from 1 species
UGGGGGAUCUUGCGCUAAUGCGCGAAAGCGUGACGCAGCGACGCCGCGUGGGGGAUGAAGGCCCUCGGGUUGUAAACCCCUUUCGGCAGGGACGAAGCGAAAGUGACGGUACCUGCAGAAGAAGUCCCGGCUAACUACGUGCCAGCAGCCGCGGUAAGACGUAGGGGGCGAGCGUUGUCCGGAUUUAUUGGGCGUAAAGCGCGCGUAGGCGGUUCGUUAAGUCGGAUGUGAAAAUCCGGGGCUCAACCCCGGACCUGCAUCCGAUACUGGCGGACUGGAGGCAGGCAGGGGAGAUCGGAAUUCCUGGUGUAGCGGUGAAAUGCGCAGAUAUCAGGAGGAACACCGGUGGCGAAGGCGGAUCUUCUUGGGCCUGUCCUGACGCUCAGGCGCGAAAGCUAGGGGAGCAAACA